rnacentral:tRNA from 1 species
GCCCUGUUAGCUCAGUGGGAGAGCAAGCGCCUGUCGAGCGCGAGGUCGCCGGUUCAAUCCCGGUACGGGGCGCCA